rnacentral:lncRNA from 1 species
GUUGCCCUCAAAGCUUGCAACUUCUUUUCCCACAGCUGCAGCAUUUUCUAUUGAAAGGUAGCCGUAUUGGAGGAAAUCUGAGUCUUCUUCCAAAUUCCAAGGUAGACCUAAUGUGCUCUGCAAGAAGAUUCAUAACCAACUAGUCAUGCGAUGUAAGUUGACAUUUAACCGACUGUGGAAAUUGUUCAUUUUAUUUGUCAACAAUCAAUUAUCAAGAUAUGAACACUCUCUGCUCCUCAUGUUUUUCAUAUACAAAGGGUCACCCUGGAAAUUUAUCAGCAAUGGGUAUCAUUAGUUGCUUCUAACUUCUGGUCCUGCAAGAUCUAUUCCAAAGAGUCAGAUAACAGCGAAGUCUGUAGCCAACAUCAAGCUCAAGUAGUGCAUGAAGAGCCAAUACUUGGGUAUUUCUUUGUUAGAUAUGAAGUACCCCGAGAAAAAAGAAGAACUCACCCAUGAUGCCUGCAAUCAAAGACAUUCCUGAUAUGAAAGCAGCUGCAAAAGAAUUUCCCUUUGAGAGAACCAUCCAAGCCACCAGACAGAAAUAAAGGAAUCCAUCGAUUUUGCGUCUCAGUCCAACUAGCCAGUGAAGUGGAGUAGUAAAGAGGAGAUAGUUGCAAAAGGAAUGCAACAAAAUUAUAAGAGAUCUUUACAAUCCAAUAAUACAAUCCAACUCAGCUCAGUGAAUGUGAUCUUUACACGGAAAACCUUAGUUGAGAGAAAUGUCAUGUACCUAGGGGUAGUCAGCUACAGCCAAUACAGCAACGGGACAACCAAGAAAAAGA